rnacentral:lncRNA from 1 species
UCAUAAUCUGCCCAUCUAUUCAUUCCUCAGUUCAUCCAUCAUUCCUUCAUCCAUUUAUCCAUUCACUCAUUAUCCAUUCAACUAUCCAUUCAUCUACUCAUCCAUCCACCCAUCCCUUCAUCCAUCCACUAUUAACCAUUCAACCACCACCCAUUCACCCUCAUCCAUCCAUCCAUCCAGCCAGCCAGCCAGCCGUUACAUCCAUUCAACCAACUGUCCAACCAAUCAUCUGUACAUCCAUUCAAUCUCACCUUUCAACCACCAUCCAUCUGUCCAUUCCUUGAUUUGUCCACCUCUCCAUCCAUUCAACCAUCCAUUCUUCUAUUCCUUCAUGCAUUUAUUUACUGUCA